CCCCCCUGUGCCCCUGCACCUCCUGCACCCUUGCCUGUACUCUCCCCCGUACUCGUCUGCACCCUCACCUGCACCCCCCCUGCACCCCGUCUAUACCCCCUGCCCUCAGAUGCUGUGCAGUGAGUGGGGCAGCAUGGGAGAGGGGUCUCCAGGUGGGACAGGCCAUCCUGUCUCGAGAGGCUGACAGCCUCGGGGCCUGGAGAAAGGAAGGGGCUGAGCGGGGAAGCACCUGCUGGAGAUGGAGGCCCUUGUCCCCCACCUCAGGCAGGCAGCACGAAGGGCCCUGGGGGCUGGGGCUGCUGUCCAAGCCUUCCUGUGGGACCACCCGAGGGAGGGUCCCCCGUAGAUGGGGCCAGCAGAGGCCUGUGACCGCCCCACUCUGAACUGAUCCUCAGCCCCCAGGCACCCACCCCUGGCCCCAAAGCUGGUGGCUGCUGGACUCCGGGUGGGGGCUCACCCUGCGCGCCCUGUCUUCCUGGCCAAGCCCCCAGAGUAGCUGAGGCUGCGGUGCACGGGACGCUCCCCCUGGCCCCUGCCCUCCUGAGUGCCUGAGGAGGAUGAGGCCCCCCAGCUACUGAGCCCCCCCAGUGAGUUCCACGCAGCCCCCAGCCGGGCGGCCCCCAGACACAGCUCGGGCAGCCGUGGCCAUCUUACUGGGCAGCAUUGGAUGGAGUCAGGUCUCUAAUACUGCCUGGUAAUGAUGACGGCGGGGGCCUGCCUGCGGCGACCGGCAACCCUCCGGGCCCUAGGGCCUCACCCAGUCCACACUCCCCUCCCUACAGCCCGCUCAGCGGACCCAACCCCAACCAGCCCAGAUGGCUCUGGGGAGAGUGAUGGGGGAGUGACCUUGGGAAGGGGUCUGCCCCCCCGCCCGAUUCUCCGAGCCCCCAGAAAGCAAAGCUUCCCGCAGCUGCACCCAGGGUGCCCUGCAGCCAUCCGGGGAUUAGGACACUCAGGUGUCUGGACCCUGCCCACAGUGCCGGGCAGGUGCUGCCGCCACACCCAGCAGGUGCGGGCUGGGCGGGGCUCAACAAAGGGCUCGGGAGGGCAAGGCCCAGCCUGGAGUCACGUGGAGCCGCCCACCCAGCGAGAGCCGCCAGCCCAGUCGCAGCCACCUUUCCUCCCACGGACGGGGUGGGCCACGCCGAGCAGGCCAGCUCCACGCCUUGGUCCUUGGUGACCCACCGCUCGCCCGGAACCCCACCGAUGCACGUGCACGCCAGAGCUCCCUUGCCAGAGAUGUGGGGGCGGCCGAGCCGGGCAGUGGAGGGCCCGUGUCAGCUCCGAAGCCCCGCACCCAGGGGAGGGCUGGUCACUCAUGCCCAGGCUGGGUCUGACACCGUGAGCAGCUGAGCCUCUCCCACCCCAGGAUCCCCCAGGCUGGGCUUUGGGGUGACCCAGCUCCAGGAAAGGCCCUAGGACAGGGAACGCCAGGGCUGGAGAGGUGAGAGGGACAGGGGCCUCCCUCCUUCCCGAAGUCUGGGCCCCGGCUCCAGCUCCGUGGAGGGUCUGCGGGGGCGCAGGACGGACAGGGUGGGCUCAGAUUCUCAAGACCAACGCUGCAGGGCAGCAGGACGCUGGUGCCGUGACCUGUGCAGGGUGAGGGGUCUCAUUCCUUCUCCCAUCAACAAGAAUGGGAACUUUGUCCGAAACCCAGGAAGCCAGGAUCACCCACUGUUUAAUCCUUUUCAUCUGCAGCCAGGGCGCCUGGAACCACACCCCACGCUAGGCCCCAGCCUGCAGAGGGGGCGGUUGCCCUGGUCUCUCCAUUACUCAUUAACCUGAUGGAGUGUCAGGGAGCCAGCAAGGGGGUGUGGGAGCCUUUGCCAAGAGCAGGGCCAGGGUGACCAGAUGGCUCUCCGCAUCCCUCGCGGCCAGGCUGGGGCCAGGUGCCAGGAUGAGGCUGUCAGGGAAGCAGCUUGGGGGCCCCUUCCGCAGAUCCAGGAGGGAUCAGGGCAGCCGCGGCAGUUGGGGGGGCACCUCCGGGCCUUCCCUCCACAGACCCCGCAGAUACCAGCCCAGGACCCGGAGGCCGCCCACACCACCGCCAGGGGAUGAGCGUCUUACCAGACACAGUUAGACCUGCCCUCUGUCUAAUACUGUCUGGUAAAACCGUCCAUCCGUGGCCUGAUUGCUGCUGGAGGAGGGAGCUGCCUGCCGGGGGCCCAUCAGCGUGAAGCCGUGGGGCUGGGGCUCUCGGACCCCCGCUCGCCAUGGUCUGUCCCCACCAGGCCUCCAGGGCCCUCAAGCCGUAGUCCUGGGCAGAGACUGCAGACCCAGGCUUUCAGCCCAGCCCCGGGGCCACAGUCAGGGACACCCCGAGGCCCACCCCACAGCCCUCAGCCCCCUCCCCACCUGGGGAGGCCAAGAUAGAAGCAGCUGGGUCCGCCAGAGCGCCCGAGCCCAGGGCCAACGUCACAGCCCCUCAGCCCCCGGCAGCGGGACCCAGAGACCCCAGAGGCUCCUGGGCGUCCCUGAGCCUCGUCGGGCAGCGACCAGCCGUGGAGUUCGAACCACACUCUCCCUCCAGGGCCAGUCUCUGGGGCAGAGUCGAGGCCACGUGGCAGGGAAGGAGGUGCUUGGACCGCAUAGCCCUGCACUGGGGGCUGGCUCCCCCAACCCCAGGUGGCUCCUGAGGUGUCCCUUGGAGCUGGGCCCAAGCUGGGCCCUGCAGGCUGAGCCCCACCCCGGGGCCGUCCCCUGACCCCCUUCCCUCCCGAACCCACCCACACGCCGCGGCCGCCUGAGCGACUCGUGUCGGUGAGAACUUGGAGUGACACCCCCAGAAUGUGGCGUCCACCUCACCAGACCCCGAGAGUGAGCCCUGAACGGCAAGGUUGACGUAACACAAGCUCCGGAGGAGCGCUCAGGCCUGGCUGGGCCACCCCGUGAGCCGGAGCCCGCCCCACUGCUCAGAGCCCGGGGACCUGGCCCACCGCAGCACUCCCGUCCGAGCACCCCUCAGAUACCGACGCGCCCCACACCGCUCAGGGGUCACUCUGCUCCCGGAAGGUGGGGGGAUGGAUGCUGCUGGGGCUGAGGAGCCAGGCUGGGUGCUCCUUGCAGAGUCCUCCUCCUCCCCUUCACUUGUGCUCCCACCGUAAGCACUGAGAACAAAACGGAAAAGGCGUUUACAUAGAAAUAAACCCUGCGGCUGGCGCA